AACUUCUCAAAACUGAAAAACCACCGAAUAGAAGUGGUUCCUAUGUUUUCGUCUUUUGGUGUUAUAAAAAAUAAAUAAAAUCUGUUUGAACUUCUCUUCGAUUUUCUGAUUUUUUUCUCCUCACAUCUCGAUCCAACUCGAAAAACCCACUGCGUACGAGAGGUACAAACAUGAUUCAAGUGAAGAUUUUGGAAAAAGACUGAGGAAGAUACACAGGAACAAUAGCAUCAAAGAAUUUAUCCAAAGAGAUUUCCAGUAGUUGCAGACCACUUGUUAGAAAGAAGACUGCAGUAUGCCUUCUAAGGUUGCACAAAAAGAAUCCCGAUAUUGUCAAUCUAGAUGGGUGGACUGGUGAUGACUGGAUGCGUUUUGAGGAAUCUAAAGAAGCAAGCAGUUGUGGCAGGGGGUUAAUUUAGUACACCACCAAAUGUUAAAUUUAAUACACCAACAAAUGAUCAUCAAUAGCAAUAUGGAGCUGUGUUGGAGACAGAAGACUUGGAGAAAUUUUCUAGGGGAUGGCCACAACAGCACGUACAACUUUUGCACCUCGUAGUGACAUCAUACUAUUUUUUAUUUUUUUUCUUCUUUGGUGUUUUGAAUAUGAAUGAAGUAUGUAUUUUUUUUUGUUAAACUUGAGGAUGUUUGUUAUCAAGUGUUAAAUUAAAUCAAGUUGAU